UAGCUCAGUUGGUUAGAGCACCAGCUCGACAAGCUGGGGGUCAAAGGUUCGAGUCCUUUAUCGCCCA
rnacentral:tRNA from 1 species